GUUUUCUUUUUGUUAUCAUGCUCUUUGAGUUUCGAAUUCUGUCUUUUAUGUUUUAGGAUUGAAUUUGCUACAAUUUUAUGGAAGGGUUAGAAACCUCGAAGGUCCUGCCUCGACACAGGCAGUGGAAAACUCUCUUAGGAGAGCAAAACUUGUUGGUGGAGGUGUUGGUGACAAGGAGGUUAGUGAAUAUACUAGAGCAGAGAAGAGGAGGCUCAGUGUUGCCAUUUCAUUGAUUGGAAAUCCUCAAGUAUGUCUUACCAAUAUGCACAUUCAAUGGAAGAGGCAAAGGCUCUAUGUGACAGAAUAGAAGUUCUAGCAGAUUAUUGUUUGCAAUGUAUAGCCAGCCCUUGAGAGCUGAAGGCUAGAUAUGAAGAAUCUUCCACGUUUAGGAACACAACACCCCCCCACCAGAAGGUUGAGUUGCGUCACCUUUUUGGUUUGCCAACUUCUAGUGGGUCAAUGGAAGAAUAGAUCUUACAAUUGGUAGAUGAUGAUGAGAGAGAAUUCAGAAGAUAGAGGAGUGAAGAAGCAUGUGGGCAGAGAAGAUAUAAGAUCAGAGGCAUGUUGGUUCCUAUAAUUCUAAUUCCUGCUCUUGCAUUGGAAACAGGGCAUGGAGUCAUAUAAUUUGAAGCCUCUGUUUUGCAUUUAGGAGAAAAAAUUGAUGAUUGUUUGACUGUAAAUUCACCCUGUGUCCUCCAUAUAAUUGAUGAUUACUGUAAGAUGGAGCAGUAACUGGCUCGUUGUUUUUCCUUUUUGUUUUCUUCAUUGUUUUAGGCUGCUUCUUUUGUCUUGCUUGUUUCUCAUUUGCAUUCUGAUGCAUUUAUCUGUAAAUCUUAAGGGGAAUAGUGAAGUCUAGGUAUUGGAUUUUUGUUUAGAAUUUAUCUGAUACCUUUGUAGCUCCUUCUACAUAGAAAU